UAGGGAAGGCAGCAGUGGGGAAUAUUGCACAAUGGGCGCAAGCCUGAUGCAGCCAUGCCGCGUGUAUGAAAAAGGCCUUCGGGUUGUAAAGUACUUUCAGUCGUGAGGAAGGUGUUAAGGUUAAUAACCUUAGCAAUUGACGUUAGCGACAGAAGAAGCACCGGCUAACUCCGUGCCAGCAGCCGCGGUAAUACGGAGGGUGCGAGCGUUAAUCGGAAUUACUGGGCGUAAAGGGCACGCAGGCGGUUAAUUAAGUUGGAUGUGAAAUCCCCGGGCUUAACCUGGGAAUGGCAUUCAAGACUGGUUAGCUAGAGUCUUGUAGAGGGGGUAGAAUUCCAUGUGUAGCGGUGAAAUGCGUAGAGAUGUGGAGGAAUACCGGUGGCGAAGGCGGCCCCUGGACAAAGGCUGACGCUCAUGUGCGAAAGCGUGGGGAGCAAACAGGGAUUAGAUACC
rnacentral:rRNA from 1 species